AGAGUUUGAUCCUGGCUCAGGAUGAACGCUAGCGGCAGGCCUAACACAUGCAAGUCGAGGGGCAGCACAGAAAGUAGCUUGCUACUUUUGGUGGCGACCGGCGGACGGGUGCGUAACGCGUAUACAACCUGCCUUCUACUGGGGGAUAAUUCGGAGAAAUCUGGUCUAAUACCCCAUAACAUUACUAAAGGCAUCUUUGGUAAUUAAAAGCUCCGGCGGUAGAAGAUGGGUAUGCGUGACAUUAGAUAGUUGGUGAGGUAACGGCUCACCAAGUCGACGAUGUCUAGGGGGACUGAGAGGUUAACCCCCCACACUGGUACUGAGACACGGACCAGACUCCUACGGGAGGCAGCAGUGAGGAAUAUUGGUCAAUGGGCGGAAGAGCCAUGCCGCGUGCAGGAAGACGGCUCUAUGAGUUGUAAACUGCUUUUGUGCGAGGGUAAACCCCGGUACGUGUACCGGGCUGAAAGUAUCGUACGAAUAAGGAUCGGCUAACUCCGUGCCAGCAGCCGCGGUAAUACGGAGGAUCCAAGCGUUAUCCGGAUUUAUUGGGUUUAAAGGGUGCGUAGGCGGUUUGUUAAGUUAGAGGUGAAAUCCCGUGGCUCAACCACGGAACUGCCUCUGAUACUGGCAGGCUAGAGAAUGGUUGCUGUGGGCGGAAUGUGUGGUGUAGCGGUGAAAUGCUUAGAGAUCACACAGAACACCGAUUGCGAAGGCAGCUCACAAAGCCUGGUCUGACGCUGAGGCACGAAAGCGUGGGGAUCAAACAGGAUUAGAUACCCUGGUAGUCCACGCUGUAAACGAUGAUAACUCGUUGCCGGCGAUAUUAGUGUCGGUGACUUAGCGAAAGCGAUAAGUUAUCCACCUGGGGAGUACGUUCGCAAGAAUGAAACUCAAAGGAAUUGACGGGGGCCCGCACAAGCGGAGGAACAUGUG
rnacentral:rRNA from 1 species